ACCAUGAUCACCCACUUCUCAUCCACAGGAGAAAAGAUAAGAAAGGCCUAAUUCUCAUUUGCUGCUAACUCUCACUGGGUGUCUUCAGUGUGCUGAAGAUGACUGCCUUGACCCAAAGAAUUACAGGGGCAAAAGAAAGUUGUAAAGGCUAUAGUGCUAUCACAGUUGUUUCAGGACGUGCAUGCAAAGGGGAAAAAUACAGCCACAGAUGUGUGUUGGAGUGAUGUGCAGGUAGGAUAUGAUUCUUCAAACAUACCAAAUGGUUAACAUUUGUG